GAUGAACGCUGGCGGCGUGCCUAAUACAUGCAAGUCGAGCGAAUGGAUUAAGAGCUUGCUCUUAUGAAGUUAGCGGCGGACGGGUGAGUAACACGUGGGUAACCUGCCCAUAAGACUGGGAUAACUCCGGGAAACCGGGGCUAAUACCGGAUAACAUUUUGAACCGCAUGGUUCGAAAUGGAAAGGCGGCUUCGGAUGUCACAUAUAUGUGGACACGCGUCGCAUUAGCUAGUUGGUGAGGUAACGGCUCACCAAGGCAACGAUGCGUAGCCGACCGGAGAGGGUGAUCGGCCACACUGGGACUGAGACACGGCCCAGACUCCUACGGGAGGCAGCAGUAGGGAAUCUUCCGCAAUGGACGAAAGUCUGACGGAGCAACGCCGCGUGAGUGAUGAAGGCUUUCGGGUCGUAAAACUCUGUUGUUAGGGAAGAACAAGUGCUAGUUGAAUAAGCUGACACCUUGACGGUACCUAACCAGAAAGCCACGGCUAACUACGUGCCAGCCGCCGCGGUAA
rnacentral:rRNA from 1 species